rnacentral:rRNA from 1 species
UACGUAGGGUCCGAGCGUUGUCCGGAAUUAUUGGGCGUAAAGGGCUCGUAGGCGGUUUGUCGCGUCGGGGGUGAAAACUCAGGGCUCAACCCUGAGCGUGCUUCCGAUACGGGCAGACUAGAGGUAUGCAGGGGAGAACGGAAUUCCUGGUGUAGCGGUGGAAUGCGCAGAUAUCAGGAGGAACACCGGUGGCGAAGGCGGUUCUCUGGGCAUUACCUGACGCUGAGGAGCGAAAGCAUGGGGAGCGAACAGG